rnacentral:rRNA from 1 species
ACCCGUGCGACGGUCGCUUUCGGCGUGUACUGUCUGGCCGGGCCUUCCUUCUUGGUGAUCCGGCAUGCCCUUUACUGGGGGUGUCGGGGAACCCAGACUUUUACUUUGAAAAAAUUAAAGUGCUCAAAGCAGGCAUUUGCCCGAAUAUAUUAACAUGGAAUAAUAAAAUAGGACGUGCGGUUCUAUUUUGUUGGUUUCUAGGAUCGCCGUAAUGAUUAAUAGGGAUAGUUGGGGAAUUUUUCUCUUUCUUAUAA